AUGGCAGAGGUGCAGGUCCUGGUGCUCCAUGGUCUAGGCCAUCUCCUGGGCCUCCUGGCAGCCAUCGUGGCUAAGCAGGUACUGCUGGGCCAGAAGGUGGUGGUCAUACGCUGCGAGGGCAUCAACAUUUCUGGCAAUUUCUACAGAAACUAGUUGAAGUACCUGGUUUUCCUCCACAAGCAAAUGAACACCAACUCUUCCGAGGCUCCUACCACUUCCGGGCCCUCUGCUGCAUGUUCUGGCGGACGCUGCGAGGCAUGCUGCCCCACAAGACCAAGCGAGGCCAGGCUGCCCUGGACCGCCUCAAGGUGUUUGACAUCAUCCCACCACCCUAAGAAAAGAAACAGCGGAUGACAGUUCCUGCUGCCCUCAAAGUCGUGCAUCUGAAGCCUAUGAGGAAGUCUGCCUAUCUGGGGCGCCUGGCUCACGAGGUUGGCUGGAAGUACCAGGCAGUGACAGCUACCCUGGAGGAGAAGAGGAAGGAGAAAGCCAAGAUCCACUACUGGAAGAAGAAACAGCUCAUGAGGCUACGGAAACUGGCAGAGAAGAACGUGGAGAAGAAAAUUGACAAAUACACAGAAGUCCUCAAGACCCACGGACUCCUGGUCUGAGCCCAAUAAAGACUGUUAAUUCCACAAAAAAAAAAAAAAAAAAAAAAAAAAA